GCCAACGUGGCACAAUCUGGUACUGCGCAAGCCUGGAAAGCUUGUUUCCUCCGGGAUAUCCCGGUUCAAAUCCGGGCGUUGGCG
rnacentral:tRNA from 1 species